UGAGUGUUCAGGGACAGGGGCUGGAUACUACAGGGGAUGCUUUCAGAGGGGCUGGCUUUCACCUAGUGUUAACUUGCAAGGCAAAGUAAGGGCUGGAGCUCGGCGGAGAUAGUUUGGGUGACUGAGAGACUGGUGGUGUCAGGAAGCUGACAUCCAGGUCAAUGAUAACAAUGUUUAAAUAGCACAGAGAGAAGAACUGAUCCCUGCAGGACCUCACUGGAAACAUGCCUGCUCGAUGAUGACUCCCCGUUUACAAUUACAUUUUGAGACCUGUCAAUUAGCCGGUUUUUAAUCCAUUUAUGUGUGCCAUGUUAGUUUUGAAGUGUUCUAGUUUUUUAAUUAAAAUGUCAUGUGCUACCAA